rnacentral:misc_RNA from 1 species
CGCACAUUGCGCCCUCUGGUAUUCCGGGGGGCACGCCUGUUCGAGCGUCAUUGAACCAAUCAAGCCCGGCUUGGUAUUGGGCGCCUCCGCCGCGGGAGGUCCCGAAAUGCAGCGGCUCGAUCGCCCGGGGAAGAACGCAGUGGAGUCUAGCGACUAUCGUUCUCGUCCUCCGGGCGGUCGGCGCCGUCGAAGCGUGGCCUCGGGCCACACGCCAUGAGAAUUGACCUCGGAUCAGGUGGGAAUACCCGCUGAACUUAA